CUCCAGCCCAGUUUCGAAGGGUGAAAUCUGUCCAACUAUAUUUGCUUCAAGGAGCUGCAGUUCAAUUUCAUUUGGGAUGUUUCAUGGGAAGGCAAUGGAUAAAUGAUGAAUAGAUCAGGAGAGCAAUGCAAACUGACCUAGGCUGGAGGAAAGAGGAACUGGAAGAAAGAUGUUUCCUAUUUUCUUGGAAGAAAACCUGAGAAGACCACAUGCAUGUCCAUGUAGAGCACUGUGGACAUCAUUGAUCACCCUGUAGAUGGGUCAAGGCCUCCUCACCAUGUGAAGUCCAUGCGCUGCUUUACUUUCCAAAUCUGGAUCCAGAGA
rnacentral:lncRNA from 1 species